rfam:Ictidomys tridecemlineatus contig107190, whole genome shotgun sequence.
GGGAGUGUAGCUCAGUGGUAGAGCAAGUGUUUGCCUAGCAUCUAGCAUGUGUGAGGCACUGGGUUCAAUUCUCAGCACUGCAU